AUUGAACGCUGGCGGCAGGCCUAACACAUGCAAGUCGAACGAGUGGCGGACGGGUGAGUAAUGUCUGGGAAACUGCCUGAUGGAGGGGGAUAACUACUGGAAACGGUAGCUAAUACCGCAUACUAUCGGAUGUGCCCAUAUGGGAUUAGCUAGUUGGUGGGGUAACGGCUCACCGAGGCGACGAUCCCUAGCUGGUCUGAGAGGAUGACCAGCCACACUGGGACGGAGACACGGCCCAGACGCCCACGGGAGGCAGCAGGGGGGAAUAUUGCACAAUGGGCGCAAGCCUGAUGCAGCCAUGCCGCGUGUAUGAAGAAGGCCUGAGGGUUGUAAAGUACUUUCAGCGGGGAGGCGUUACCCGCAGAAGAAGCACCGGCUAACUCCGUGCCAGCAGCCGCGGUAAUUC
rnacentral:rRNA from 1 species